rnacentral:rRNA from 1 species
CAAUAGCGUAUAUUAAAGUUGUUGCAGUUAAAAAGCUCGUAGUUGGACUUGUGGUGGUUCCUGUGGUCCAUUUUUGGUACUAUCGGGGACCGCCAUCUUUGGGUGGAUCCUGUGUGGCAUUAGGUUGUAGUGGUCGGGUAGUUCGGGACGUUUACUUUGAAAAAAUUAGAGUGUUCAAGGCAGGCUCUCGCCUGAAUACAUUAGCAUGGAAUAAUGGAAGAGGACCUCGGUCCUAUUUUGUUGGUUUCUAGGGCCGAAGUAAUGAUUAAGAGGGACAGUUGGGGGCAUUCGUAUUUAAUUGUCAGAGGUGAAAUUCUCGGAUUUAUGAAAGACGAACAACUGCGAAAGCAUUUGCCAAGGAUGUUUUCAUUAA